UUAUCCCUAGACACAGAGAGAAAUCUCCAUCGCUCACACCACCCAGUCUCCAACUCCAUCUCCAUCGCCUCCACCACAACCAGCACCUCCACCUCCGCUGCACUCUUCAAUUCGAAACAUGUUAGUCGACCUGUAUUCAUUUUGGAGCGAGUUUUCGUUGGAAUAAUUGAGAAAGGAAUGAAUUUUAACUAGAGACUAGACUAGCCGAAGAAUCAAUUUAGAGUCUGAGAUCGAGAAAAAUUCAUUAUUAUCAGUAGUUCAUCAUGAAGGUUAAGGAGAGAUCUCAUCUAACGAAUCAAUUUCUGGUAAUUCAAUUAUUAUUUUUAGAUUCGAUCUACAAAUUUAGACCUAAAUUCAUAAAAUCAAGAUCAGAACUGGAAAAUGAAUGAGACGGAUAUCCGUAAAAUUAAUGAUAUGGUUUGGAGAUUGAUUUGAAUACCAAAUGAAAUGAAUAUCAAAUAAAAAGUGAAGGCAGUAGUGGUGGUUGUUGUGCUUGUUCUGGUGGUGGUGGUGGAUAUUUGUUUUGCAGUGGAGGUGAUGGUGUGGAUUCGUAGUAGUCAUAGAAGUGGUAGCUGAUAGUGGAGUAGUUAAGGAUUCCCACUUGAUAAUAGGCAUAGACUGAUAUAAGUAAGAUGAAAAAUGCUUCCACAUCUUUUUUUUGAGCGACGGUCGGUCUUCACACAGCAGGAGAUAUUGGUUUUCAUCUGCACAAGGUGUAUAUAGCUGCAUUGAUGUUCCCCUCUAGUCACUGUGGUGUGAACUGAUUCAGAAGUCGCUGGUUGGGGAAUUAUUGAUUCCCUGACACCACAAUGAAGUGCUCAAACACUAUUCCCAAGAGCAUCAUGGAGCUGAGAAGGAUGGCUAUUGGCUAACCAGUUUAUAUUUGGAUUCUCUUCCAUAUUCUUUCAGCAAUGAUGGAGGUAGUGGAUGUCACAAUGGAGGUGGUUUGUUAAGCUAAUCACAAAUCAUGAGUGGUUAUACUAAUCACACGUAUUGGUCGUUCACAAGAUAUGCAAUGAAUAACAAUACUAAUAAGCCUGGCGAUUUCCUUU